rnacentral:rRNA from 1 species
UACGUAGGGUGCAAGCGUUGUCCGGAAUUAUUGGGCGUAAAGAGCUCGUAGGCGGUCUGUUGCGUCGGCUGUGAAAACCCGGGGCUCAACUCCGGGCCUGCAGCCGAUACGGGCAGACUAGAGUUCGGCAGGGGAGACUGGAAUUCCUGGUGUAGCGGUGAAAUGCGCAGAUAUCAGGAGGAACACCAAUGGCGAAAGCAGCUCUCUGGGACGGUAUUGACGCUGAGACGCGAAAGCGUGGGGAGCAAACAGG